GAAGAAGUAUACAGGAACUGCUAACUCUAUGUCUCGUGCCUAACAGCACGACUUUUUCG
rnacentral:tRNA from 1 species